GGCCAGUCUGCUUUGCUCAAGGCUAAAUGCCACUGCCCAGUAGGGAGUAGGUGCUCAGCCAGGCAUCCAGCGCACGAGUCUACGCUUUUUCUAGGUACACCCAGAGCUCAGAGAUGUCCCCUUUUUACUGAAGAGACCCAGAAAGAGUGACACGAUUAACAUCACACAGUUUGACAACUUGGUUAAGUGACACGGUGAUCUCAACCGGAUCUUCAUGCCAGGAUUUCAUCUUUCACUGGGGCUGGAGAUGCGGCCACAACCCUGAGUGGAAAGGAGGGGUGGAUUCUCCACAGAAGCAGUAUUGUGACGAAGGAUAUAAUUUGCGUUCAAGAACCAGACCACGUGUAAACAUAAUAAACGUUAGAGACGAGAUCAUCGAGCAGCACUGUAGCGUAUGAACCUCCAGUCCCUUGGAACUGGAAUUCUGCUCUAACUCUGCACUGGCCCACAGCACACUUGGAGGAAAACCGUUCACUGUAUCAGAGGCUUGAGCUCCGACGAGGGGGAUCCUCCAGUCUACUGCCCCAAGUGGCACUGACUGCCAAGAGUCAAGGGAGGCUGUGAGCAGUGACUGCAGACCCACACGGGGACCCCAGAUGUGGGCACGCCCCCGAGGCGCUUACAGAGAAGAAACGGAGACUCCAGGGUUCAGUAACAAGUUCGGCUCAUGCUCUCCUCACCCACACUUCCUAGUGGCGAGUCCUGCACACAGCCCGUGAGGCAGCCCCCCCCCACCGCGGCUGGAAGGGCCCGCUGCCCUGGAUGACGUCCGCCGGGACCUGCCGCACCCCUGGCUGCAGGGCUGGGUGACAGAUUCAGCAUCACACGAAGGUGUGUGUGAAAUAAAGUCCUAGCUUCCCUGCUC